rnacentral:rRNA from 1 species
CCCUUAGAUGUCCGGGGCUGCACGCGCGCUACACUGAAGGAAUCAGCGUGCUAGAAAACCUUGUUUGACAUGGCUAGGUAACCCGUUGAAAAUCUUUCGUGAUUGGAAUCGGGACUUGCAAAUGUGUCCCUUGAACGAGGAAUUCCCAGUAAGUGCGGGUCAUAAGCUCGCGCUGAUUACGUCCCUGCCCUUUGUACACACCGCCCGUCGCUGCCCGGAACUGAGCCGUUUCGAGAAGACUGGGGACUGCGAACUUUGGGCUGGAAAACAGCUUUUUGUUUGUGGAAACCACUUUAAUCGCAGCGGCUUGAACCGGGCAAAAGUCGUAACA